rnacentral:rRNA from 1 species
CAAUAAGCGGAGGAAAAGAAACUAACAAGGAUUCCCCUAGUAACUGCGAGUGAAGCGGGAAAAGCUCAAAUUUAAAAUCUGGCGGUCUUUGGCUGUCCGAGUUGUAAUCUAGAGAAGUGUUAUCCGCGCUGGACCAUGUACAAGUCUCCUGGAAUGGAGCGUCGUAGAGGGUGAGAAUCCCGUCUUUGACAUGGACUACCAGGGCUUUGUGAUGCGCUCUCAAAGAGUCGAGUUGUUUGGGAAUGCAGCUCAAAAUGGGUGGUAAAUUCCAUCUAAAGCUAAAUAUUGGCGAGAGACCGAUAGCGAACAAGUACCGUGAGGGAAAGAUGAAAAGAACUUUGGAAAGAGAGUUAAACAGUACGUGAAAUUGCUGAAAGGGAAACGCUUGAAGUCAGUCGCGUUGGCCGGGGAUCAACCUUGCUUUUGCUGGGCGUACUUUCCGGUUGACGGGUCAGCAUCAAUUUUGACCAUUGGAUAAAGUCCAGAGGAAUGUGGCAUCUUCGGAUGUGUUAUAGCCCUUGGUUGCAUACAAUGGUUGGGAUUGAGGAACUCAGCAUGCCGCAAGGCCGGGUACUUGUACCACGUUCAUGCUUAGGAUGCUGGCAUAAUGGCUUUAAUCGACCCGUCUUGAAACACGGACCAAGGAGUCUAACAUGCCUGCGAGUGUUUGGGUGGAAAACUCGGACGCGUAAUGAAAGUGAAAGUUGAGAUCCCUGUCGUGGGGAGCAUCGACGCCCGGACCAGACCUUUUGUGACGGAUCCGCGGUAGAGCAUGUAUGUUGGGACCCGAAAGAUGGUGAACUAUGCCUGAAUAGGGUGAAGCCAGAGGAAACUCUGGUGGAGGCUCGUAGCGAUUCUGACGUGCAAAUCGAUCGUCAAAUUUGGGUAUAGGGGCGAAAGACUAAUCGAACCAUCUAGUAGCUGGUCU